rnacentral:rRNA from 1 species
UACGAGGGGGGCGAGCGUUGUUCGGAAUUAUUGGGCGUAAAGGGUGCGUAGGCGGUUUGGUAAGUCUGAUGUGAAAUCUAUGGGCUCAACUCAUAGUCUGCAUCGGAAACUGCCGGGCUUGAGUGUGGGAGAGGUGAGUGGAAUUCCUGGUGUAGCGGUGAAAUGCGCAGAUAUCAGGAGGAACACCGGUGGCGAAGGCGGUUCUCUGGGCAUGUCCUGACGCUGAGGAGCGAAAGUGUGGGGAGCGAACAGG